rnacentral:rRNA from 1 species
AUUGAACGCUGGCGGCAGGCCUAACACAUGCAAGUCGAACGAGUGGCGGACGGGUGAGUAAUGUCUGGGAAACUGCCCGAUGGCGGGGGAUAACUACUGGAAACGGUAGCUAAUACCGCAUACCAUCGGAUGUGCGCAGAUGGGAUUAGCUGGUAGGUGAGGUAACGGCUCACCUAGGCGACGAUCCCUAGCUGGUCUGAGAGGAUGACCAGCCACACUGGGACUGAGACACGGUCCAGACUCCUACGGGAGGCAGCAGUGGGGAAUAUUGCACAAUGGGCGCAAGCCUGAUGGAGCCAUGCCGCGUGUGUGAAGAAGGCCUUCGGGUUGUAAAGUACUUUCAUCGGGGAAGCGUUAACCACAGAAAAAGCAACGGCUAACUCCGUGCCAGCAGCCGCGGUAAUAC